rnacentral:rRNA from 1 species
CCUACGGGUGGCAGCAGUGAGGAAUAUUGGUCAAUGGGCUUACGCCUGAACCAGCCAAGUCGCGUGAAGGAUGAAGGAUCUAUGGUUUGUAAACUUCUUUUGUCUGGGAAUAAAGUGAGGAACGUGUUCCUGGUUGUAUGUACCAUAUGAAUAAGCAUCCGCUAACUCCGUGCCAGGCGCCGUGGUAAUACGGAGGAUUCGAGCGUUAUCCGGAUUUAUUGGGUUUAAAGGGUGAGGGAGUGGUUAAUUAAGUCAGGGGGUAAAGUUUGGGGCUCAACCAUAAAAUUGCCGUUGAAACUGGUUGACUUGAGUGUAUUUGAGGUAGGCGGAAUGCGUGGUGUAGCGGUGAAAUGCAUAGAUAUCACGAAGAACUCCGAUUGCGAAGGCAGCUUACUAA